GCUCAGCGCGGAUUGGCGGUAGGGCUAAGUCCUGACGCUGAUUGGACAGCGGCGAAGUCGCUCCCGCAGACCGUAGCGUCCAGCCGCCCCGAAGCACUAAGUGUAACCUCAGACCCAGGACUGCGCCUGGUUGCCCAUAAGAGCCCCGUGAGGUGGCCUGGGCGCUCUCCCUGAGCUGGCAGCGUCACCCCAUCCCGCAUCCUCCUCCCCUGUUUUGUCUUCCAUCUCUCCCUCCUCCCUCCAGUCCGCGCCUCGCUGAAGGCUUCCGGUUACCCCCAUUCCCACCCUAUCCCUUAGUUUUAUUCUCUUGAAGAGUCUGCAUUUCAAGCUAUCAAGUUGGAGAGAUUACAGAAAGAAGUGUUGUUUCAGGAAGUCUUAAACAAGAAGUAGAAUUGUUUGUUACCAACUUGUAUCUGAAUCAAACAGUCAAAAGGUUGGGAAAAAAACAAGAAGAGAGAAGCUGACCCAUUGCAAUGUUCAUUUCUAAAAAACCAGAAGGUGGAGCAGCUGAUGUUCCAGGACUUGCUGUGCAGCUUGUGUGUAUUCGCUAUAGGUGUAAUAGAUCUAUUGAGGAGGACCUACUCUUAUGUGAACCUUUCCAGAGUAAUGCAGCUGAUGAAGAAAUAUUCAACUAUAUCAACAGCUUUAUGCAAAGACAUGAAAUUGAAUGGAAGAAAUGUGUUGAUGUUUGCAGUGAUGCUUCUAAGGCAAUGAAUGGGAAAAUUGCUGAGGCUGUCACCUUGAUAAAAUAUGUAGCUCCAGAAAGUACCAGUAGUCACUGCCUAUUAUAUCGACAUGCAUUAGCAGUUAAAAUAAUGUCUCCAUCUCUCAGAAAUGUGCCAGAUCAAGCAGUCCACGUUAUCAUCUACAUUAAAGCUCGACCACAUCCAUCCCAGUUACUAAAGUUUUGUGUGAACAAAUGGGUGCUCAGCACACAGCUCUUCUAAUACAGACGGCGGCUUUCGCCAGGUAAAGUUCUUGUAAGACUCUUUGAGCUUCAGCGUGAACUACUGUUUUUAUGGAUUCUCCUUUUCGACUGUCUGAUUGCUUAACAAAAUUGUCUUGGCUGCUAAGACUUGCAUAUCUUGCUGAUAAUUUUACUAAAUUAAAUGAGGUUAACCCAGCAAUGCAAGGAAAAAAAAUGUUACAGUGUUUACAGUGUUUGAUGAAAUGUCUUCAUUGUUAAGAAAAUUGGAGUUUUGGCCUUCAUCUAUAGGAGAAGGCUUGGGUUGUUUUCCUACACUCAGUGACUUUUUGACUGAAAUUAAUUCUACAGUUAACAAAGAUACUUGUGGUGCUAUUGUACGGCAUCUAAGGGGUUUGCACUGUAGUCUUUUAAAAUAUUUUCCUGUAACAAGUGAUAAUAAUGCUUGGGUUAGAAUCCAUUUAUAGUAACUGUUAAACCAGCCUCAUUAGUAGCUCAGGACUACAAGAGCCUGAUUGAUUUAACAUCUGAUUUCCAAGUGAAACAAAAUUUCAGUGAACUGUGACUAAAUGAUUUUUGGAGUAGCCUAAUUCAAGAAUACCUAAACAUUGUAAGAAGUGCUGUUCCUAUACCUCUUUCUCUUACAACACCUGUGUGAGACAGAGUUUUCAUAUUGUGCUACAACAAAAACAAAAUAUAGGAAAAGACUUGAUGCUGCACCUCAUGUGGAUCUGACUUAGCAAUAUUAUACCUAAUACUAAACAAAUAUGUUAUUUAAAAAAGACACAAAAACACUGUUCUCAUUAAAAUUGGAGAAUUUUGCAUGUCUCUUGGUAAGGUAAGGUAAAAAUAAAAGAUGAUUUACUUCA